GGGUUGUGAGGUUAAGCGACUAAGCGUACACGGUGGAUGCCCUGGCAGUCAGAGGCGAUGAAGGACGUGCUAAUCUGCGAUAAGCGUCGGUAAGGUGAUAUGAACCGUUAUAACCGGCGAUUUCCGAAUGGGGAAACCCAGUGUGUUUCGACACACUAUCAUUAACUGAAUCCAUAGGUUAAUGAGGCGAACCGGGGGAACUGAAACAUCUAAGUACCCCGAGGAAAAGAAAUCAACCGAGAUUCCCCCAGUAGCGGCGAGCGAACGGGGAGGAGCCCAGAGCCUGAAUCAGUGUGUGUGUUAGUGGAAGCGUCUGGAAAGGCGCGCGAUACAGGGUGACAGCCCCGUACACAAAAAUGCACAUGCUGUGAGCUCGAUGAGUAGGGCGGGACACGUGGUAUCCUGUCUGAAUAUGGGGGGACCAUCCUCCAAGGCUAAAUACUCCUGACUGACCGAUAGUGAACCAGUACCGUGAGGGAAAGGCGAAAAGAACCCCGGCGAGGGGAGUGAAAAAGAACCUGAAACCGUGUACGUACAAGCAGUGGGAGCACGCUUAGGCGUGUGACUGCGUACCUUUUGUAUAAUGGGUCAGCGACUUAUAUUCUGUAGCAAGGUUAACCGAAUAGGGGAGCCGAAGGGAAACCGAGUCUUAACUGGGCGUUAAGUUGCAGGGUAUAGACCCGAAACCCGGUGAUCUAGCCAUGGGCAGGUUGAAGGUUGGGUAACACUAACUGGAGGACCGAACCGACUAAUGUUGAAAAAUUAGCGGAUGACUUGUGGCUGGGGGUGAAAGGCCAAUCAAACCGGGAGAUAGCUGGUUCUCCCCGAAAGCUAUUUAGGUAGCGCCUCGUGAAUUCAUCUCCGGGGGUAGAGCACUGUUUCGGCAAGGGGGUCAUCCCGACUUACCAACCCGAUGCAAACUGCGAAUACCGGAGAAUGUUAUCACGGGAGACACACGGCGGGUGCUAACGUCCGUCGUGAAGAGGGAAACAACCCAGACCGCCAGCUAAGGUCCCAAAGUCAUGGUUAAGUGGGAAACGAUGUGGGAAGGCCCAGACAGCCAGGAUGUUGGCUUAGAAGCAGCCAUCAUUUAAAGAAAGCGUAAUAGCUCACUGGUCGAGUCGGCCUGCGCGGAAGAUGUAACGGGGCUAAACCAUGCACCGAAGCUGCGGCAGCGACGCUUAUGCGUUGUUGGGUAGGGGAGCGUUCUGUAAGCCUGCGAAGGUGUGCUGUGAGGCACGCUGGAGGUAUCAGAAGUGCGAAUGCUGACAUAAGUAACGAUAAAGCGGGUGAAAAGCCCGCUCGCCGGAAGACCAAGGGUUCCUGUCCAACGUUAAUCGGGGCAGGGUGAGUCGACCCCUAAGGCGAGGCCGAAAGGCGUAGUCGAUGGGAAACAGGUUAAUAUUCCUGUACUUGGUGUUACUGCGAAGGGGGGACGGAGAAGGCUAUGUUGGCCGGGCGACGGUUGUCCCGGUUUAAGCGUGUAGGCUGGUUUUCCAGGCAAAUCCGGAAAAUCAAGGCUGAGGCGUGAUGACGAGGCACUACGGUGCUGAAGCAACAAAUGCCCUGCUUCCAGGAAAAGCCUCUAAGCAUCAGGUAACAUCAAAUCGUACCCCAAACCGACACAGGUGGUCAGGUAGAGAAUACCAAGGCGCUUGAGAGAACUCGGGUGAAGGAACUAGGCAAAAUGGUGCCGUAACUUCGGGAGAAGGCACGCUGAUAUGUAGGUGAAGUCCCUCGCGGAUGGAGCUGAAAUCAGUCGAAGAUACCAGCUGGCUGCAACUGUUUAUUAAAAACACAGCACUGUGCAAACACGAAAGUGGACGUAUACGGUGUGACGCCUGCCCGGUGCCGGAAGGUUAAUUGAUGGGGUUAGCGCAAGCGAAGCUCUUGAUCGAAGCCCCGGUAAACGGCGGCCGUAACUAUAACGGUCCUAAGGUAGCGAAAUUCCUUGUCGGGUAAGUUCCGACCUGCACGAAUGGCGUAAUGAUGGCCAGGCUGUCUCCACCCGAGACUCAGUGAAAUUGAACUCGCUGUGAAGAUGCAGUGUACCCGCGGCAAGACGGAAAGACCCCGUGAACCUUUACUAUAGCUUGACACUGAACAUUGAGCCUUGAUGUGUAGGAUAGGUGGGAGGCUUUGAAGUGUGGACGCCAGUCUGCAUGGAGCCGACCUUGAAAUACCACCCUUUAAUGUUUGAUGUUCUAACGUUGACCCGUGAUCCGGGUUGCGGACAGUGUCUGGUGGGUAGUUUGACUGGGGCGGUCUCCUCCUAAAGAGUAACGGAGGAGCACGAAGGUUGGCUAAUCCUGGUCGGACAUCAGGAGGUUAGUGCAAUGGCAUAAGCCAGCUUGACUGCGAGCGUGACGGCGCGAGCAGGUGCGAAAGCAGGUCAUAGUGAUCCGGUGGUUCUGAAUGGAAGGGCCAUCGCUCAACGGAUAAAAGGUACUCCGGGGAUAACAGGCUGAUACCGCCCAAGAGUUCAUAUCGACGGCGGUGUUUGGCACCUCGAUGUCGGCUCAUCACAUCCUGGGGCUGAAGUAGGUCCCAAGGGUAUGGCUGUUCGCCAUUUAAAGUGGUACGCGAGCUGGGUUUAGAACGUCGUGAGACAGUUCGGUCCCUAUCUGCCGUGGGCGCUGGAGAACUGAGGGGGGCUGCUCCUAGUACGAGAGGACCGGAGUGGACGCAUCACUGGUGUUCGGGUUGUCAUGCCAAUGGCACUGCCCGGUAGCUAAAUGCGGAAGAGAUAAGUGCUGAAAGCAUCUAAGCACGAAACUUGCCCCGAGAUGAGUUCUCCCUGACUCCUUGAGAGUCCUGAAGGAACGUUGAAGACGACGACGUUGAUAGGCCGGGUGUGUAAGCGCAGCGAUGCGUUGAGCUAACCGGUACUAAUGAACCGUGAGGCUUAACCUUACAACGCCGAAG
rnacentral:rRNA from 1 species